GAAAGCUGUGACUAGCAAAUAAGCUUGCCUUUGGAUUAUUUUAUUAAAAUAAUUAAAAAAAAAUACAUUGAUAUAUGACUGAGAAUGGAUUUUAAGAAAAGAAGGGCCAGCACAGGUCUGAAACUGCCAGAAGUCUCCCUGAAGCACUGUAACCUCACUCCAGCACUAUUUGCUUUUCAGGACACAUUUUCACGAAGUAGAAGUGAGGAGUGACUAUGAACUACAGAGCUGAACUCUUAUGGACAGUGGAAACAGUAGAGAAAGAUCUCAUGAAUAUCCAGAUAGAUGCAUUAGCUGCCAGCUGAGAAUCUAUGCAUUAUUGCAUUGCUCUAGAUUUACUGAAAAGCCUGAUACAAAUUACAAAAUGAAUGCUACUCGAUAAAAAGCGUAUCAAUCUAUCUAUCUAUCUAUCUAUCUAUCUAUCUAUUUAUCUAUCUAUUUAUGUAGGUAUGCAUGUAUGUACGUGUUAAACUUCUGGCUAUUCUUUGUAAGAUCUAAUUGUAGAAAUCAAGAUUUCUAAGAAAGGAAAAAUACAAUAAAC
rnacentral:lncRNA from 1 species